GAUGAACGCUAGCGGCAGGCCUAAUACAUGCAAGUCGAACGGUGUCUUCGGACAUAGUGGCGCACGGGUGCGUAACACGUAUGCAACCUACCUUACAUUGGGGGAUAGCCUUUCGAAAGGGAGAUUAAUACCGCAUAAGACAGUAGCUGGGCAUCCAGCAGCUGUUAAAGAUUUAUCGAUGUAAGCUGGGCAUGCGUCCAAUUAGCUAGUUGGUGAGGUAACGGCUCACCAAGGCAAUGAUUGGUAGGGGAACUGAGAGGUCAAUCCCCCACACUGGCACUGAGAGACGGGCCAGACUCCUACGGGAGGCAGCAGUAGGGAAUAUUGGGCAAUGGACGCAAGUCUGACCCAGCCAUGCCGCGUGCAGGAUGAAGGCGUUAUGCGUUGUAAACUGCUUUUAUACAGGAAGAAACGACUCUUGCGAGAGGCAUUGACGGUACUGCAUGAAUAAGCACCGGCUAACUCCGUGCCAGCAGCCGCAGUAAAAC
rnacentral:rRNA from 1 species